UACGGAGGGUGCAAGCGUUAUCCGGAUUCACUGGGUUUAAAGGGUAGCGUAGGUGGGCAGUUAAGGUCAGUGGUGAAAUCUCCGGGCUCAACCCGGGAAACUGCCAUUGAUACUAUCGUCUUGAAUAUCGUGGAGGUAAGCGGAAUAGUGUCAUGUAGCGGUGAAAUGCUUAGAUAUGACAUAGAACACCAAUUGCGAAGGCAGCUUACUACCCGAAUAUUGACUCUGAGGCACGAAAAGCGUGGGGGAUCAAACAGG
rnacentral:rRNA from 1 species